UAGGGAAUCUUCGGCAAUGGGGGCAACCCUGACCGAGCAACGCCGCGUGAGUGAAGAAGGUUUUCGGAUCGUAAAGCUCUGUUGUAAGAGAAGAACGUGUGUGAGAGUGGAAAGUUCACACAGUGACGGUAACUUACCAGAAAGGGACGGCUAACUACGUGCCAGCAGCCGCGGUAAUACGUAGGUCCCGAGCGUUGUCCGGAUUUAUUGGGCGUAAAGCGAGCGCAGGCGGUUUAAUAAGUCUGAAGUUAAAGGCAGUGGCUUAACCAUUGUUCGCUUUGGAAACUGUUAAACUUGAGUGCAGAAGGGGAGAGUGGAAUUCCAUGUGUAGCGGUGAAAUGCGUAGAUAUAUGGAGGAACACCGGUGGCGAAAGCGGCUCUCUGGUCUGUAACUGACGCUGAGGCUCGAAAGCGUGGGGAGCAAGCAGG
rnacentral:rRNA from 1 species